GACGAGGAGGCUGAGUCCCCCAACGCUGGCCACUGGCCCUGGUGGGGGUCCUGGGCUGUGGGACCCUUAAGCUCCCUCAGAAGGCCCCUGCCAGGCUGAACUGGGGCUGGGCCCCGGGGCUCCUGGGUGUCCUGGUCCUGGGGUCCUCGGGCUGGGCCCUCACAAGAACCCCAAACCCCCACCCUUGGCUCCUUUUGCUUCUCUUGCUCCAGCCCCCAGGCGCCCUGGGCCUUAGGUCUGUGGACACUGGAAGCCCGGGUUGGUCAGAGCCAGGCCCUGCCCAGAGGUGCAGACACAGGGUACACAGACACGGGCCUCUGGCACCGGCCGGUGAGGACAGCAGUGAUGGCAAAGGUUGGUAAGACAUCUGCAUCCCAAGAUGACUACACCACCGAUCACCAAGGCUUCCGAGAGGCUCGUCCGGAGCUUAGAAGCAUCCCCGCUGGGCUGAGCAGAGGCUUCUUGGAGUAGGCGCUGGUUCAGACAGGACAAACAAGCUAGAAUAGACGGGGCAGGCCCUGCGGACACACAGCAGCCCGGGCCACACCAGAGGUGGGAUGCGCCAACUGCUUUGGGGGUUACUUGGGAGCAGCUGGGCCAGGGACACAGGUGUCAAUGGCCAAGGAGGUGGGAGGGUGGUGGGCCCUGUGAGAACACAGCUCUAGUCUCUGUGCUGGGCCUGAUGACCUGCUUCAGUGCCAUGGGCCAAGUCCUGAGGCUUGUGUAUGUCAUAUAAGCUUAUGAUGUCACUUGACCAUGAAGGCUCCAGCAGCUCCAGCAGCUCCCACAGCUCCCAUCUGCAGGGCAGGAAGACCACCUGUACUGUGGUUUGGGAAGGCCCUUGCAGAAGCACCCAGCCAGGCCCAUGCCCUGGGGCCACUUCCUCAUCCCUGGCUACAGAAAACACGGGGCCUGUCCCUGCUGGCAGCUGCCUGGGGGACCCUCCAUAAUGCCAGAUGUUAGCUGGUGGGACAGUUUCUGCCCCUGCUGGAGAAGCACUUAGGAGACUGCUUCCUAAGACUCCAGCUCAGCAAGGUCUAGGUUCUCAUGAAGCAAAGCAAGCCUCACACAGCAACAACUGAUGGUUUCCAUUUUUUCCUUUAAUUUGGAUGUACAAUGUUUGCAGCAGUUAAAAAAAAUUAAAUAUACAUCUCUCGUCAGUCCUU